GGUCUUUUAAAAAAAUACUGACAGGGAGCUCCCAUUGUGGCUCGAAUCCGACUGGGAACCAUGAGGUUGUGGGUUCGAUCCCUGGCCUUGCUUAUGGGUUAAGGAUCCAGUGUUGCGAAAGCUGUGGAUUAGGUCUCAAAUGCAGCUCGGAUAUGAUCCCUGGCUGGGUCCAUAUGCCAUUGAGUGGCCAAAAAAGAAGAAAAAAAAAGAUACCCACUUCAGUUCUAGUGACACAUACAAACUGAAAGUGAGAGGAUGGAAAAAAAUACUCCAUGCAAAUGGAAAUCCAAGGAAAGCUGGAGGAGUUCCCAUUGUGGCACAGAGGAAAUGAACCCGGCUAGUAUCCAUGAGAACUCGGGUUUGAUCCCUGGCCUUGCUCAGUGGGUCAAGGGUCUGGCAUUGCUAUGAGCUGUAGUGUAGGUCACAGACUUAGCUUGGAUCCCAAGUUACUGUGGCUGUGGCUCUGAUUUGACCCCUAGCCUGGGAAUUUCCAUAUGCCAUGGGUGCAGCCCUAAAAAACCAAGCAAGCAAGUAAGAAAGCAAGGAAGAAAGAAAGGAAGGAAGAAAGAUAUAAAUGAACUUAGUUGUAGAAUGGAAACAGACUCACAGACUUUGAAAAAUUUAAGGUCACCAAAGGGGACAGGUGGGAGAGGAGGGAUGGACUGGGGGUUUAGGACAGAAAAGUUCUAAAAUUAGGUUGUGAUGAUGUCUGUAAAACUAUAAAUAUAAUAAAAUUCAAUGAAUUACAAUAAACAAACAAAUAAAUAAAAGGUAAUCAUACACUAUAUACCUGGAGGCCAUCAUACCUUUGGCUGUCCAUCUGAGUCUUUGUCUCACUGGGAAGGAAGCACCAUGAAGGAAGGUAUGAUUUCAAUGAGACAGCUCUGAGGAAAUAUUUGCCUGGGGUUAAGAUGGAAUCACACUUGUCCACAGUUUUACAGCUUUAUGACCUAGCAGGAAGAAUCAGGAUAAGAACAUGGCUAGGCGCUGGCCUCCAAGAGGCAUUUUUCCUGUCUUUUUCAGCUAGAGGCUGAGAGAUGCAGCUAGCUGUUGAAGCUGCUUCUUUCUGGUAUCCUCCACGUGGCAUUUUCAGGUUUGUUGAGGGAGCAGAGCUGAACCACAUCAAGUCUCUCAGUGCCAGAGAAAGGGGAAACAGUAAUA
rnacentral:lncRNA from 1 species